UGCGAAGGGGGCUAGCGUUGCUCGGAAUCACUGGGCGUAAAGGGUGCGUAGGCGGGUCUUUAAGUCAGGGGUGAAAUCCUGGAGCUCAACUCCAGAACUGCCUUUGAUACUGAAGAUCUUGAGUUCGGGAGAGGUGAGUGGAACUGCGAGUGUAGAGGUGAAAUUCGUAGAUAUUCGCAAGAACACCAGUGGCGAAGGCGGCUCACUGGCCCGGUACUGACGCUGAGGUGCGAAAGCGUGGGGAGCAAACAGG
rnacentral:rRNA from 1 species